rnacentral:sRNA from 1 species
GAGUGCUAGUAGGUAGAUUACGUAUUGACAACUUGGGUGCUGGUAGGUAGAGUACGUAUUGACAACUUGGGUGCUGGUAGGUAGAGUACGUAUUGACAACUUGGGUGCUGGUAGGUAGAUUACGUAUUGACAACUUGGGUGCUGGUAGAUAGAUUACGUAUUGACAACUUGGGUGCUGGUAGGUAGAGUAAGUACUGACAACUUGGGUGCUGGUAGGUAGAGUAAGUACUGACAACUUGGGUGCUGGUAGGUAGAUUACGCAUUGACAACUUGGGUGCUGGUAGGUAGAGUAAGUUUUGACAACUUGGGUGCUGGUAGGUAGAUUACGUAUUGACAACUUGGGUGCUGGUAGGUAGAUUACGUAUUGACAACUUGGGAGCUGGUAGGUAGAGUAAGUAUUGACAACUUGGGUGCUGGUAGGUAGAGUAAGUACUGACAACUUGGGUGCUGGUAGGUAGAUUACGUAUUGACAAUUUGGGUGCUGGUAGGUAGAUUACGUAUUGACAACUUUGGUGCUGGUAGGUAGAGUACGU